UACGAAGGGGGCUAGCGUUGCCCGGAAUCACUGGGCGUAAAGCGCACGUAGGCGGCUUCUUAAGUCAGGGGUGAAAUCCUGGGGCUCAACCCCAGAACUGCCCUUGAUACUGAGGAGCUUGAGUCCGGGAGAGGUGAGUGGAACUCCGAGUGUAGAGGUGAAAUUCGUAGAUAUUCGGAAGAACACCAGUGGCGAAGGCGGCUCACUGGCCCGGUACUGACGAUGAGGUGCGAAAGAGUGGGGAGCAAACAGG
rnacentral:rRNA from 1 species